AAUCAGAGCUGGUUUGCUCGAGAGGAUGUUCAGCGCAUCCUCUGACGCAUCGACAACUUCAGCGGUGGUAAUGUGUUGAAUUUGGCUUAGAUUCCAUCAUCCUAAGACUAUGUCGUUGCCGCUUCACCAUGGUUUGGUUGACAAUGGUGGCUCAAGCACGGUAGCCGGACCUGGAGGAGAUGGUUCAUGGUGGAGCAUCUGCUUCUACCAGAUAGAGUUUGGCAUCCUAUACCUAGAAGCGGUGGAUCCCGGACGGUGCAGCCAGUACCAUAUCAAGCACGGCGGUGGGGGAGGCCAUGACGCCUACCUUGAGCCGGUGGCGGAGAGCACAAUGCCUAGAUUGAGCCGCUCGCAGCACCCCCAUGCCUAGCUCGAGUACUAGCUCGAGCCAACCAUUGCCCCCGACCAAUGUUUGUACUUUCUCUGAGGGCGCCACUUAUUAUCGUGUGCCUAUCACCUGCAGCCGCUGCCUUCGCGCGUAGGAGCAACUUCCUUCGGCGCAUUGUGGUGCCCGGAGGCGGCGACUGGCGGGUGUUUUUUCCAAGUCGUCGGAACAAACAGAAGGGACCUGUGUUGGGAUUAGGAGGUGGCUCUACCGUCGUGGACUUUCGCCUGGGCUCAAGCCUCUAACGCUUAUCCUCCACCAUUUCCAUUUUUUGGAUUGUUGUGUUUUGUCCAAUUAUAAAUCUUUAGUUGUAAGCGUGUAAGCAAAUGCCAAGGUUGAUUAGUGUAGUUCAUUUUUUCCACUUGUGGGAUAGUAAGACAUGGAAAUCUGACCAUUUUCGAAUUUC